GGGGAUAUAGCUCAGUGGGUAGAGUGCUAGCCUCACAUGCAUAAGUCCCUGGGUUCAAUUCCCAGCCCCA
rfam:Ictidomys tridecemlineatus contig003002, whole genome shotgun sequence.